rnacentral:rRNA from 1 species
CUUAUGGGCAGGGCUACACACGUGCUACAAUGGCCGGUACAAAGGGCUGCCAACCCGCGAGGGGGAGCUAAUCCCAAAAAGCCGGUCGUAGUCCGGAUCGGAGUCUGCAACUCGACUCCGUGAAGUCGGAAUCGCUAGUAAUCGCGGAUCAGCAAUGCCGCGGUGAAUACGUUCCCGGGUCUUGUACACACCGCCCGUCA